rnacentral:rRNA from 1 species
AUUGAACGCUGGCGGCAUGCCUUACACAUGCAAGUCGAACGGUAACGGGUCCUUCGGGAUGCCGACGAGUGGCGAACGGGUGAGUAAUAUAUCGGAACGUGCCCAGUAGUGGGGGAUAACUGCUCGCAAGAGCAGCUAAUACCGCAUACGACCUGAGGGUGAAAGGGGGGGAUCGCAAGACCUCUCGCUAUUGGAGCGGCCGAUAUCAGAUUAGCUAGUUGGUGGGGUAAAGGCAUACCAAGGCAACGAUCUGUAGUUGGUCUGAGAGGACGACCAGCCACACUGGGACUGAGACACGGCCCAGACUCCUACGGGAGGCAGCAGUGGGGAAUUUUGGACAAUGGGCGCAAGCCUGAUCCAGCAAUGCCGCGUGCAGGAAGAAGGCCUUCGGGUUGUAAACUGCUUUUGUCAGGGAAGAAAUCUUCUGGGCUAAUACCCCGGGAGGAUGACGGUACCUGAAGAAUAAGCACCGGCUAACUACGUGCCAGCCGCCGCGGUAA